rnacentral:rRNA from 1 species
AAACUACAGGAUCCUUANUACGGCGAGUGAAGGGGGAAAAGCUCAAAUUUUAAAUCUGCUAGGUUUUACCUGUCAGAAUUGUAAUUUGAAGAAGCGUUUUCCGCGUCUUGGUUGGCCCAAAUCCUUUGGGAUAAGGUAUCAUGGAGGGUGAGAAUCCCGUUCGGUUGACCUUAUGACGCUCUACGAUACGCUCUCUAAGAGUCGAGUUGUUUGGGAUUGCAGCUCAAAAUGGGAGGUAAAUUUCUCCUAAGGCUAAAUAUCGGCGAGAGACCGAUAGCGAACAAGUACCGUGAGGGAAAGAUGAAAGGAACUUUGAAAAGAGAGUAAAAUAGUACGUGAAAUUGUUGAAAGGGAAACGAUUGAAGUCAGUCGUACCGACGAGAAAUCAACUUAUCGUGUGCGAAUUUGUGGGCGUGCGUGAGUUUCGGCCUCGCUGUUUGCAUGUUUGUGCGUUUUGGGUGUACUUUUUCGUAUGGUAGGCCAACGUCAGUUUCGAUUAUCAUAAAAUGACUGGAGGAAUGUANCCUCGAUCUUGUAUUGAAGUGUUAUAGCCUUCGGUAGAUGUGAUGAUCGAGAUUGAGGAUUGCAACGGAUACCCUUCGGGGCUACCUGUCUGGUCUCUGAUCGUUGCUCUGGUGCCGAAAGCUUGCUUACGGUUAUCAAAGUCGAUGGUCAAUAGGUUAGAACGGGUUAAAUUCGUUAAGGAUGUUGACGUA